rnacentral:rRNA from 1 species
CCAAAGCUGGCGACCGGCGCACGGGUGAGUAACACGUAUCCAACCUGCCGAUAACUCGGGGAUAGCCUUUCGAAAGAAAGAUUAAUACCCGAUGGUAUAAUCAGACCGCAUGGUCUUGUUAUUAAAGAAUUUCGGUUAUCGAUGGGGAUGCGUUCCAUUAGGCAGUUGGUGAGGUAACGGCUCACCAAACCUUCGAUGGAUAGGGGUUCUGAGAGGAAGGUCCCCCACAUUGGAACUGAGACACGGUCCAA